UACGUAGGGUGCAAGCGUUGUCCGGAAUUAUUGGGCGUAAAGAGCUCGUAGGCGGUUUGUCGCGUCGGGAGUGAAAACCAUGGGCUUAACUCAUGGCUUGCUUCCGAUACGGGCAGACUAGAGGUAUGCAGGGGAGAACGGAAUUCCUGGUGUAGCGGUGAAAUGCGCAGAUAUCAGGAGGAACACCGGUGGCGAAGGCGGUUCUCUGGGCAUUACCUGACGCUGAGGAGCGAAAGUGUGGGGAGCGAACAGG
rnacentral:rRNA from 1 species